GAUGAAGAACGCAGUGAAAUGCGAUAAGUAAUGUGAAUUGCAGAAUUCAGUGAAUCAUCGAAUCUUUGAACGCACAUUGCGCCCCCUGGUAUUCCGGGGGGCAUGCCUGUUCGAGCGUCAUUUCACCACUCAAGCCUCGCUUGGUAUUGGGCAACGCGGUCCGCCGCGUGCCUCAAAUCGACCGGCUGGGUCUUCUGUCCCCUAAGCGUUGUGGAAACUAUUCGCUAAAGGGUGUUCGGGAGGUUACGCCGUAAAACAACCCCAUUUCUAAGGUUGACCUCGGAUCAGGUAGGGAUACCCGCUGAACUUAAGCAUAUCAAUAAGCGGAGGA
rnacentral:misc_RNA from 1 species